CCCAGCCUAUAUAUAUAUAGUGCAGCCAGCACAUAUUUCAUUUUUAAAUAGCAAAUCGAACAUUUACUGCAAGACCUUAAAGAUGGCAUCCAGACUAUUAACCGUAUCCUGUAUCUUUGUAUUCGUCUCUGUUAUAUACUCAGCAAAUUUACCAAAGGAUUGUAAGGUUGACGAUAAAACGUAUAAAAGUGGUGAUACAUUUACUAGAGCAAAUUUUGGUGGACCUUGUAAUAUCUAUCUAUGCACAAAUGGCGGAUACGAAGUUAACAAAUUUGGAUGUUUCAACAAAGAUGAUCAGAAAUGCUAUGAUGUCGACCAGGAGGUAACGGAGAAAUGUUUUACUAAAAGAUGUGACAAACAUGGAAGCCAAAUUGGAUUCGUAAAUAUUAAAGCGCAAUGCCAAGAUGCAGAUAAAAAGUGUCAUGAUGCAGGCCAGACAUUUACGAACACAGUCGAUGGUAUAGAAUGGAACUGUUUAUGUUCGUUAGAAGGAGAGAAUAACGUCAACGCUCAUUGUACCCGUACUACUUAAUGAAUUUAAUAAAAAAAUAAUAAUAAUAUUAAUUAAAAGCGUUUCGCACGUG